rnacentral:rRNA from 1 species
GCGCAGCAGGCGCGAAUCCUCCGCAAUGCGGGCAACCGUGACGGGGUCACCCCGAGUGCCCCUCGUGGGGCUUUCCCGCUGUAGGAAGGCGGGGAAUAAGCGGGGGCAAGACUGGUGUCAGCCGCCGCGGUAAUACCAGCCCCGCGAGUGGUCGGGGUGAUUAUUGGGCCUAAAGCGCCCGUAGCCGGCCCGGCAAGUCUCCCUCUAAAGCCCCGGGCUCAACCCGGGGAGUGGGGAGAUACUGCCGGGCUAGGGGGCGGGAGAGGCCGAGGGUACUCCCGGGGUAGGGGCGAAAUCCUAUAAUCCCGGGAGGACCACCAGUGGCGAAGGCGCUCGGCUGGAACGCGCCCGACGGUGAGGGGCGAAAGCCGGGGGAGCGAACCGGAUUAGAUACCCCUGUAGU